rnacentral:rRNA from 1 species
AUCAAUGAAACUGAUCUCUCCGUGAAGAAGCGGAGAUUUAACUAUAAGACGAGAAGACCCCAUGGAGCUUUAAACCUGACUACACCCCUAUCUAUUAUACCCUUAAAUCAACAGGGCCUUUGUCUGUCGGUUUUAGGUUGGGGUGACCGCGGAGCAUAAAUUAACCUCCAAGAUGAACUGGACUAACCCAUUAUCUAAGAUUUACACCUCAAAGAAUCAGCACACUGACAUAAAAUGAUCCGACAUUCGAUCAACGAACCAAGUUACCCUGGGGAUAACAGCGCAAUCUACUUCAAGAGCCCCUAUCGACAAGCAGGUUUACGACCUCGAUGUUGGAUCAGGGUAUCCUAGUGGUGCAACAGCUACUAAAGGUUCGUUUGUUCAACGAUUAA